UGUGGGGCUGUGGGGCUGGAUAUGGGGCGCCCCAUAGAUGUGUGGGGUGGAAUCUGGGGGUCUGAGCGCCCCAUAGAUGUGUGGGGCGGAAUUUGGGGCGCUCAGAAUUUGGGGGGCGUGGGGUUGUGGGGUGCCCUAUAGAUUUGUAGGGUGGGACGGAUGCUGUGGGUUGCAGCACCCCACACAUCUGUGGGGCAGGAGUCUCUAUGGGGCAGCACUUGGGGGCCUCAAAACCCCACGUCUAUGGGGCAGCAUUUGGGGUCUCUAUGGGGCAGCACUUGGGGGCCUCAAAACCCCACACAUCUAUGGGGCAGCAUUUGGGGUCUCUAUGGGGCAGAACUUGGGGGUCUCAUCCCCCACAAAUCUAUGGGGCAGGAUUUGGGGUCUCUAUGGGGCAGCACUUGGGGGUCUCAGGCCCCCCCACAAAUCUAUGGGGCAGGAUUUGGUUCCACACCCUCUUCCUCACCCCCCCUCCUUAUUCCCCAACCCCCACCCCACUUCCGCCUAAAGCCCCGCCCCUUCCGGUCCCUCCCAGCCACCAUGAAAGCCCACCGCUGGUGAUCUAUUCCCCUCCUCCAUGCCCCGCUUCCGGCCCAAGCCCCGCCUCUUCCGGUCCCACCCAGCCACCACGAAACCCCACCGCUUGUGAUCUCUCUAUCCCCCCCCCUGCCAGGCCCCGCUUCCGGCCCAAGCCCCGCCCCUUCCGGUUCCGCCCGCCGAUGCUCCCCUCGCACGGCGCCGCCCCGCAAUGGCCGCGGCUUUUGCUGCUCUGGGCUCGGCGCUGCGCGGUGCGGGCGGCGCUGUGCGGGGCGGGGGCGGCGCUGCUGCUGUGGGCCGCGGCCUUCGCUUACGGCGGAUUCUACUUCCUUACCGUGCCUGCCGCCGGGCUGGUUGCUCCGGUGCACUUCCGCUUCCGGUAGGCGCUGCGGGGGGAGUUACUUCCGGUUUUAGGGGUUUAAAGACUUCCGGUCGGGGUGGGAGCCAAUGGGUGCUUUGGUAUCGUGGUACUUCCGGUUUGGGGAUCGGGGGGCUUCCGGAUGGGGUUUGUUGGGCUUCCGGUGGGAGGAUUGGGAACUUCCGGCAGAGGGGUUGGGAGGAUUUCGGUGGAGGAAUCGUAG
rnacentral:lncRNA from 1 species